AUUCUGCCCGUGCAGGGAAGGAUGAGAAGCUUCGACCAGGUUCGAUUCGAGCGCAGCGAGAAAGCGUUGCCGCAGGCAACGACCCGAAGGGUGAGGC
rnacentral:sRNA from 1 species